UACGUAGGGCGCAAGCGUUGUCCAGAAUUAUUGGGCGUAAAGAGCUCGUAGGCGGUUUGUCGCGUCUGCUGUGAAAACUCGAGGCUCAACCUCGGGCUUGCAGUGGGUACGGGCAGACUAGAGUGCGGUAGGGGAGACUGGAAUUCCUGGUGUAGCGGUGGAAUGCGCAGAUAUCAGGAGGAACACCGAUGGCGAAGGCAGGUCUCUGGGCCGCAACUGACGCUGAGGAGCGAAAGCAUGGGGAGCGAACAGG
rnacentral:rRNA from 1 species